UUCUGCCAGAGAGGAGAAGGGGCCAGGCACCCUGGGCCCAGGCUUGCUGGGAAGCCUCUAAAACAAAAGCAGGUUUCAUUGAUAGUAGACUACAGAAGGAUGUUAACCUGAGUGCCGGCAGGAGUCACAGUCACCUACCCGGGUCCCUGGAGGCACCUGAACAUGGUGGAGGUGGGCAGUUAUUUUUCUCCUCACCAGCUGGCACAGUACUCUCAGCUGUCUCCUCCAUCACAACGUUGAGUGUGUGCAGAUGCCUCCGCCUGGCCUAAAGCCGUAUCUGAUACCUGCAUGGUGAGUGCGGAAUACAUACUCACCGAGUACGUGAAUGAGCAUGGAACACCCGUGAGAAGCACCAUUUUACAGCUAUGGAGGCCAGAAGUCCCCAAAUCAUGGUGUCACCAGGACUACAUUCCUUCUGGAGGCUCUAAGAGAGAAUGUGUCUCCUUGCCUUUCCCGGCCUCAGGAGGCUGCCUGCGUUCCUUGGCUCAUGGCCCCUUCCUCCGUUUUCAAGGUCUGAGAACAUCGCUUUUGUUUGGGAAAAGCCAGAAACACUCGACAAAUCUCUGUCCUGAAAUUCUCAAGAACUACGUGUCUGUUUUGACUGAGGAACAUGAUGAACCUCUGGAAAAUCGAAGUGACCUCAGUGGUGUGGUUUGAAUAUUUGUCCCCUCCAAAACUUCAUUUGAAACUGAAUCCCGUGUGGCAGUAUUGAGAGACAGGGACUUCGCAAGGUGGCUGGGCCUGCCCUCAUGGAUGGAUUGAUCCAUUCGUGGGUUAACGGGUUAUCACGGGAGUGGGGCUGGUGGCUUUAUGAGAAGAGGAGCUAGCACAUUGGCACACUCAGCCCCCUCGACAUAUGACAUCCUGUGCUGCCUCGAGGCUCUGCAGAGAGUCCCUACCAGCAAGAAGGCCCUCACCAGAUGUGUGCCCUUGACCUUGGGCUUCUCGGCCUCCAUAACUGUAAGAA